rnacentral:SRP_RNA from 1 species
UACCGGUCCUCUCGCAAUGAUAGGUUGAAAACCCCGCCAGGCCCGGAAGGGAGCAACGGUAUUGACUGAUUCAUGUGCCGGGAUGCGGCUGGUGCUU